GAGCACGUAGGUGGGUUUGUAAGUCAGGUGUGAAAGCCUUCUGUUCAAAGGAAGAACGGCAUCUGAAACUGCAGAUCUUGAGUGUAGGAGGGGAGAGUGGAACUUCUGGUGGAGCGGUGAAAUGCGUAGAUAUCAGAAGGAACGUCGGCGGCGAAAGCGACUCUCUGGCCUAUUACUGACACCGAGUGUGCGAAAGUUAGGGGAGCAAACGGGAUUAGAUACCCCGGUAGUCCUAACCGUAAACGAUGGGCACUAAGUAGAGGG
rnacentral:rRNA from 1 species